CAUACACAAUGAGAGCAUCACAUAGAUAAUUAGAGGAUCACAUAGACAAUGAGAGGUUCACAUGGAUAAUUAGAGGAUCACAUAGACAAUGAGAGGACCAUAUAAACAAUGAGAGGAUCACAUAGACAAUGAGAGGAUCACGUAAUCGCUGCAUGUGGAGGAUAGUUUAUAAUGUCCCACCACUAACCCAUGUCACUCACAUGCUGCGGAAGGGUGUGAUUAGUGGUGCAAGCUAUACGUCGACUUCCAUUGUCUUCAGUCUCACUGUUCUGUCGGAAUAUCAA